AGAGUUUGAUCCCUGGCUCAGGAUGAACGCUAGCGGAGGCCUAACACAUGCAAGUCGAACGGGAAGGGCAGCAAUGCCCCGAGAGUGGCGCACGGGUGAGUAACGCGUAUGCAACCUGCCUUUAACUGAGGGAUAGCCCAUAGAAAUGUGGAUUAAUACCUCAUAGUUCUUGAUUGUCGCAUGACAGUUAAGAUAAAGCUCCGGCGGUUAAAGAUGGGCAUGCGUGACAUUAGCUGGUUGGUGAGGUAACGGCUCACCAAGGCGACGAUGUCUAGGGGUUCUGAGAGGAUGAUCCCCCACACUGGUACUGAGACACGGACCAGACUCCUACGGGAGGCAGCAGUGAGGAAUAUUGGUCAAUGGGCGCAAGCCUGAACCAGCCAUCCCGCGUGCAGGAUGACGGCCCUAUGGGUUGUAAACUGCUUUUGUACACCAAGAAAACUCGCUACGUGUAGCGAUCUGACGGUAGUGUAUGAAUAAGCAUCGGCUAACUCCGUGCCAGCAGCCGCGGUAAUACGGAGGAUGCAAGCGUUAUCCGGAUUCAUUGGGUUUAAAGGGUGCGUAGGCGGCCUUUUAAGUCAGUGGUGAAAUCCUGCCGCUUAACGGUAGAAUUGCCAUUGAUACUGAAAGGCUUGAGUUCAGUUGAGGUAAGCGGAAUGUGUAGUGUAGCGGUGAAAUGCUUAGAUAUUACACAGAACACCAAUUGCGAAGGCAGCUUACUAAACUGACACUGACGCUGAUGCACGAAAGCGUGGGGAGCGAACAGGAUUAGAUACCCUGGUAGUCCACGCCGUAAACGAUGUUCACUCGCUGUUUGCGAUACACAGCAAGCGGCCAAGCGAAAGCAUUAAGUGAACCACCUGGGGAGUACGAUCGCAAGGUUGAAACUCAAAUGAAUUGAUGAAUUGACGGAAUCUC
rnacentral:rRNA from 1 species